UUAAGUCAAAGUUUUUCCACUUCCAUCAGAGACACGUCAUCUUAAACGUGAGGCUGUAACGCUCAGCAUUUGCAGGGAUUUAGUGUCUUUAUUGUGAAGUGAGUGUGGUUUUGCUAACAGUGGCAGAAGGACGGAUGGUUUAAUGCUCUCACUUCCCUGGUGAUGUUUCUGCUCAGCUGAAGAACGAGACUUUUCCUCCUGCUGGGACGGAAACUGAACUCCUGGAGCCCAAAUCGAGUUUAGUUUGAUACGGGCUCUGCUUUUACUUAAAUCUGUUUUAUUCUGAGCAUUAACCUCUGAAUGAACCGUGAACACUUUGGAUCGGCCGAAGCGAUGGAUCCGGAGAACUGCCUGUGGAUGCGUGAGUCAGCUAGAAGUAAAAGAUCGUCUACAUUUAGCAAAGAUAAUGCAUUUAGCUGCAGUUUCUUCCACUCCGCAACCAGGAAGCCUGAAAAGUUGACCUCAGUCUCCAGGAAGAUCCGAUUUUCAGGCUGCCAGCUAAAGACCAGUCCAUCCUCUGAAACACUCAGAGGUGGUUCUGCUGAAAUACAUCCGAUAAGAUGAAAACGGUGCUAAAUAUUUGCUCUCCUGGCUGCAGUUUGUAAUUGAACUGUUUAAAAUCUUUGUGUUGUGAGUCUGAAGGUUUCUGUCCCAACAUAGUCUGGAAAAGUACCAAGUGCACAGAUUUCUCCUGAACGCCUCAUCAGGCGCCUGCUGUGUUGACCAGAAACACUUUCAGCCAUAAUUUCCUUUCUUCUCCCACUUUAAUGUUUUCAUGUUUUAACACCUUUCAUCCGCCAACUUCACAUUGUAUUAAUAUUUUAUCAUAGACCACCGCUGAGAGAUAAAACAAUAGCAGUAUAAAUCGCAAAAAAAGUUUUUUCUGAUGGACAUAUGACAAGGGGUCGAUAUAGACGUUUAAUAUACAGAAAAGCCAAUAACAAUAAGAGCUGGACCAAUCAGCAGCAGGCAGACGCGCUAACAGCUAGUAUUAGCUAGCUGUUAGCGUUUGCACAUCCAGUUGGCAAGGAUCUCACAAUAAAGGGAUUAUAAAAAGUUGUAAUGAAGCACAUUUACCUGCUCGAACAGAGAGACGCCUCCUGCAUCAUCACGACGGGUUAAGCUAACCGUUACUAACUCGGAUCACAUUAGAAACAUGCCAAAAAAUUCACUAAACUGCUGAUUACUGAGGAUAAAGUCCAGCUUCAUUCUGCUGUGAACUGAUUUAGUUUUGUAAUCAUCCCAGCUGUGACGAGUCCUGCAGGUGGAAACGAGCCGCCGUCGCUUCCUGGCCGGCGCCGCGUGUUCAGACACUACGGAGCCGCCGGUUCAGACGUGUGCUGGAAUUCACACCGACGGAAAAACUCACAGUACCACAGGAACAUUCGAACCGAUAUGAGUCACGUGACCAACCAUCAGAUUGGAGCAAAGCGGCUUCGUCGUCCAUCAAUGUUUUUGGAUGAGCAUCAGAUUUAUGGACCCACCAUAAACCAGCUGAUUCAAACCUUUUAUAUUGAACAUUUUAUUAAAAUACGCCCUGAUGAGUCUCAUUUGUCUGAUUAAUUCCCGUUAAUGUAACAACCUUUAAACUGGUAUUAAACAUAUUUUCAUUAAACCCACAAAUGUUUUUAAAAAUUGUUUUAAUGGUCUGAUGUAAUAUUCUAAUUUUAAAUAUAUUUGUAUUACCUGUCAGUGUAAAGUCAAAACAACUGAACGUCCAUCUGUGUGUAAUGUAAACAAUGUUAAAAAGUUGAUGAAAUAAAUGGACUUUUCAGUUAUAUUACAGCAAAUGUUUGUAUUUUUGAUAAUAAUCUGCUUUUCCAGGUAAAUUCUCUGUCAUCAGAUUAAAGCUGGAAAUG